GGGGGGGUUCCCGAGUUGGCCAAAGGGGACGGACUGUAAAUCCGUUAGCUGCGCUUUCACUGGUUCGAAUCCAGUCCCCCCCACCA
rnacentral:tRNA from 1 species